UAGGCUUGUUCGGAAGAGGCUCACUGAAAUGGUUUGCUCCAGGGGAAGUUAGCUGCCAUGUUGUGAGGUAGCUCACCUAGCUCUCUGGAGAAGAAAUGAAAGCCACCUGGGGAGGAACCAAAGCCUCCUCUCAACAGACAUCAACUUCGAGCUUCAUGACACCUUGGCGAGGGAGGCCCUCCAGCCCCAGCCAAGCCCUCAGAUGCCAGUAGCCUAGCUGACACUAACUGCAACCUCAUGGGAGAGGAGUGUGGCUAAGACCCCAAAGGUGGAGGACAAAACCUUAGCUGCCGAGUACCUCACAUCCUAAAGCCAGGGCUCAGCCCUGUGCUGUUCUGUAGGGCAGCUACCAGCUGCAUGGGGCUACCGAGCCCGGCACGUGGCUCAGUCCCUGCUGAGAGGCACUGUCUGGACUCAAAUAUGGCUUUCUCAACCUGACUAGGAUUAUAACCUGCUCCUCCUAGCUGCUGACUGUGAACGAGCAUGCUGGGCAUUUCACUGCUUAUUGCCGCUCCACCUCCGGGAAGGUCAGAGCCUGUGGUCUGGAAAUGCCCACAGAAGUGGGGCAGGCAUGUGAACACUGCUGGGAUUAAAGUAAGAACUGGUAUCCUGGACCUUAAAACAAC